rnacentral:rRNA from 1 species
UUGAAGAGUUUGAUCAUGGCUCAGAUUGAACGCUGGCGGCAGGCCUAACACAUGCAAGUCGAGCGGUAGCACAGAGAGCUUGCUCUCGGGUGACGAGCGGCGGACGGGUGAGUAAUGUCUGGGAAACUGCCUGAUGGAGGGGGAUAACUACUGGAAACGGUAGCUAAUACCGCAUAAUGUCGCAAGACCAAAGUGGGGGACCUUCGGGCCUCAUGCCAUCAGAUGUGCCCAGAUGGGAUUAGCUAGUAGGUGGGGUAAUGGCUCACCUAGGCGACGAUCCCUAGCUGGUCUGAGAGGAUGACCAGCCACACUGGAACUGAGACACGGUCCAGACUCCUACGGGAGGCAGCAGUGGGGAAUAUUGCACAAUGGGCGCAAGCCUGAUGCAGCCAUGCCGCGUGUGUGAAGAAGGCCUUCGGGUUGUAAAGCACUUUCAGCGGGGAGGAAGGCGGUGAGGUUAAUAACCUCACCGAUUGACGUUACCCGCAGAAGAAGCACCGGCUAACUCCGUGCCAGCAGCCGCGGUAAUACGGAGGGUGCAAGCGUUAAUCGGAAUUACUGGGCGUAAAGCGCACGCAGGCGGUCUGUCAAGUCGGAUGUGAAAUCCCCGGGCUUAACCUGGGAACUGCAUUCGAAACUGGCAGGCUAGAGUCUUGUAGAGGGGGGUAGAAUUCCAGGUGUAGCGGUGAAAUGCGUAGAGAUCUGGAGGAAUACCGGUGGCGAAGGCGGCCCCCUGGACAAAGACUGACGCUCAGGUGCGAAAGCGUGGGGAGCAAACAGGAUUAGAUACCCUGGUAGUCCACGCCGUAAACGAUGUCGAUUUGGAGGUUGUGCCCUUGAGGCGUGGCUUCCGGAGCUAACGCGUUAAAUCGACCGCCUGGGGAGUACGGCCGCAAGGUUAAAACUCAAAUGAAUUGACGGGGGCCCGCACAAGCGGUGGAGCAUGUGGUUUAAUUCGAUGCAACGCGAAGAACCUUACCUGGUCUUGACAUCCACAGAACUUAGCAGAGAUGCUUUGGUGCCUUCGGGAACUGUGAGACAGGUGCUGCAUGGCUGUCGUCAGCUCGUGUUGUGAAAUGUUGGGUUAAGUCCCGCAACGAGCGCAACCCUUAUCCUUUGUUGCCAGCGGUCCGGCCGGGAACUCAAAGGAGACUGCCAGUGAUAAACUGGAGGAAGGUGGGGAUGACGUCAAGUCAUCAUGGCCCUUACGACCAGGGCUACACACGUGCUACAAUGGCAUAUACAAAGAGAAGCGACCUCGCGAGAGCAAGCGGACCUCAUAAAGUAUGUCGUAGUCCGGAUUGGAGUCUGCAACUCGACUCCAUGAAGUCGGAAUCGCUAGUAAUCGUAGAUCAGAAUGCUACGGUGAAUACGUUCCCGGGCCUUGUACACACCGCCCGUCACACCAUGGGAGUGGGUUGCAAAAGAAGUAGGUAGCUUAACCUUCGGGAGGGCGCUUACCACUUUGUGAUUCAUGACUGGGGUGAAGUCGUAACAAGGUAACCGUAGGGGAACCUGCGGUUGGAUCACCUCCUU